AACGUAGGGGGCGAGCGUUGCCCGGAUUCACUGGGCGUAAAGCGCGUGUAGGCGGUCCGCUAAGUCGGAUGUGAAAUCUCGAGGCUCAACCUCGAAAUUGCAUCUGAAACUGGCAGACUUGAGGACGGUAGAGGUCGGUGGAAUGCCAGGUGUACCGGUGAAAUGGGUAAAUAUCUGGCGGAACACCAGUGGCGAAGGCGGCCGACUGGGCCGUUCCUGACGCUGAGACGCGAAAGCCA
rnacentral:rRNA from 1 species